rnacentral:rRNA from 1 species
GACGAACGCUGGCGGCGUGCUUAACACAUGCAAGUCGAACGGUGAUGCUCCAGCUUGCUGGAGUGGAUCAGUGGCGAACGGGUGAGUAACACGUGAGCAGCCUGCCCCAGACUCUGGAAUAAGCGCUGGAAACGGCGUCUAAUACUGGAUACGAAACUGGCCCGCAUGGGCAUGGUUUGGAAAGUUUUUCGGUUUGGGAUGGGCUCGCGGCCUAUCAGCUUGUUGGUGAGGUAAUGGCUCACCAAGGCGACGACGGGUAGCCGGCCUGAGAGGGCGACCGGCCACACUGGGACUGAGACACGGCCCAGACUCCUACGGGAGGCAGCAGUGGGGAAUAUUGCACAAUGGGCGAAAGCCUGAUGCAGCGACGCCGCGUGAGGGAUGACGGCCUUCGGGUUGUAAACCUCUUUCAGCAGGGAAGAAGCGAAAGUGACGGUACCUGCAGAAGAAGCACCGGCUAACUACGU